CCUACGGGAGGCAGCAGUGGGGAAUAUUGCACAAUGGGCGCAAGCCUGAUGCAGCCAUGCCGCGUGUGUGAAGAAGGCCUUCGGGUUGUAAAGCACUUUCAGCGGGGAGGAAGGCGUUAAGGUUAAUAACCUUGGCGAUUGACGUUACCCGCAGAAGAAGCACCGGCUAACUCCGUGCCAGCAGCCGCGGUAAUACGGAGGGUGCAAGCGUUAAUCGGAAUUACUGGGCGUAAAGCGCACGCAGGCGGUCUGUCAAGUCGGAUGUGAAAUCCCCGGGCUCAACCUGGGAACUGCAUUCGAAACUGGCAGGCUAGAGUCUUGUAGAGGGGGGUAGAAUUCCAGGUGUAGCGGUGAAAUGCGUAGAGAUCUGGAGGAAUACCGGUGGCGAAGGCGGCCCCCUGGACAAAGACUGACGCUCAGGUGCGAAAGCGUGGGGAGCAAACAGGAUUAGAUACCCUAGUAGUC
rnacentral:rRNA from 2 species